CGUUAACAAGCCGAAUUUUUACUUUGUUCACUGCUUUUUGGACGAAGAGGAAUUAGAUUUGUGGAAGAAAUUUGAUACAAUGAAAGAUUCCUACUGUGAACAAUGGGUUCCAAGUCCUUUAUUGUUGCUUUUAUAUAAACGUCUGGCCUAGCUAGCUGUCACACAGUCACAGUUCGAUACUUGCUAGCUGAAAUUUCGAUAUGACUACCGGCGUUUCCCUACUAAACCAGUAUGUUUUGCUAUUGCAAAAUGUCGUACAGGAAAACAGGCUUCUUGAUUAGAGAACAGGUGGCCAAUUAAUACAAUUACACCGAGUGAAAAUGCGCUGAAGAAUUAUUGAACAACGGCUCGGUAUAAUACUGGGAGACGAGUCAGACACUCAGACAAGCGGGGCAAAAUAUACAGAGAAUGGCCAAGGCUUGCAGUGUAAGUAAAACGUUUAUUUUUACAGUGUACAUUUCCGUUUAGAAUUGUCAGACAAAUUAUGCUCAUUGCUUCCUACAGUAUAUGUAUAUGAAUAUAUGAACUUUGUCCAUUUGGCCGUUAUAAAAAUACAGUCCAUCCGAAAUAUUGGAGCCAAAUUUGAAAUCCUUUUCCAAAUCAAUGACAUCUACAUACUGUAAUUAUGGUCCAGUAUUUGCGUUUAAUUUAGCUAAAUAUAGUACAAUGGAAUUAGGAUGCACUUGUCAAUUACUUUUAUUAUUAUUAUUAGUUUAAUAAAAUCGUAUCGCAGUACAAAACUGAAUUACACGAUUAUAAAUAUAACAACUGAAUAAAAUAUAUACAUAGAGUCACAAUGUUAAAGUUAUGUCAGAGGUUGCCAAUUAUCUACAUUUAAAAAGCCUGUUAAAGGCAGUUACAACGAUAAAUUGUAAAUUUUUAAUAUAUCAUUCAAUACUUUGAUAUAUCAAUAAUUGUAAAUUUUUAAUUAUAUAUCAUUCAAUGUAAAUUUUUAGUAUAUCAAUACUUAACUAUUUGCCCGACCCCCUAAGACAGGCUGACCUGACUAAUCUUGUCUAAUCCCCCAACCCAAGGGGGGCCUAAUUUGAAAUUUUUAUUGAACAAAAUUCUUAUUUUCAAGAUAAAAGUAAUAUCAGGAUAUUAAAAUCUAAUUGCAUAUGUAAAUUAAAUAGUAUGUGCGAUCAGGCAGCUAUUCUGUGAGAAAAUAAAUUCACAACUGAACAUGUACAGUAAAACUAUUUUGUCACUAUAAAGUGAAACAAACAGAAUAUAGAACUUCCAAAUGCGAACAAAAAAUGACCUGAUCCAGAGAUAAUUGACUUUAAGAAGACCAGGCAAGGCUCCACUCAACACGGCAAUCCUAGCCUGCAAGCGGGCUGUAUCCAUUCCCACAUAAUGCCCCACAUAGCAGGGUAGGGGAUCGAUAAGAGGAAAAUCCCCUGGCACCUAGUCAGGCAUAAGUGGGAAAACGCCCUACAUAACCCCACGUACCUUUCCCCAAGGUUGGGGGUGGGGGUUACAAUUGACAAGUGCAUUAGCCUUACUAUAUGCAAUACCUGCUUCCUAAAAUUUCUAGUAUUUGAUGCAUUCAAGUGCAUCAAUACUGUAUUGUACUAUUGUCUUCAUAGCUUAGUUGAUUGGACUUAGGGUUAGGCCUGUUUAUAUGGAAGCCGGAUUGGCCCGCUUAUAGCGAGACAGCAUGGUAUGCAGGAUGAACUGCUCAUGUACUUACGAUACGCGAAAAUUUCAUCCUGCUUGCCAGGACAAUUUUGUUAUUUUGAUAUAUUUUAUUGUUUUGACAGUAAGUUAAAAAUAGCUUGUGUGACUAUAUUCGAACUUUCAUCUUAAUUGGGAAACAGGCUAGCCCGCUCGUAAGUGUUUAUAUGGAGAAAUUUCCAUCCCGGUAAGCAAGAUCUUGUCCCUUUCGAGCAAGAUCUCAGCAACCAGGCAGCCUGUUUGUCCAUAUAAAAUAAAUGCACAAUCAUUUUUACUAUAAAAAUUAACUACACAGCAAGAUCUUGCCAACCAGGCUGUCUCGCAUAGCAGGCCAGCCCCGGCUUCCAUAUAAACAGACCUGUAGAUACUAUCUCACUAUAUUAUACAUACAGAGCUAUUUGUAGCUUAUUAUAAAGUACUAGUACCCAAAAGCGGGGUUUUAACAGUGCUUUGCCUCUGCAGAGGGAAUACAAAUUAAUAAAAAAUGUGAUCAUUUUGAUGUCCAUUUGAACACAUGACAUAAAAACCAACAGACAUGCAGUAUUUUCUUAGGAUUAAAUUUAACCUAGAAAGCUAAUUAUUCCGACCCAGCUGUAUCUGGUUAAUUUAACAAUUCAACAACAUUUCUAUAGUAAGCUGGGAUUUAACAGUUGUAAAUUUUCAAAUUCCCACAUAUUCCUAAAUUCAGUGUCUCAUUGACUAGUGCAAGAAUUGGGGUUAAAGAAACUGUAAUAGUAUGCUUUUGGAAUACAGACAAUAUACUUUGGGGUUUUCUCACUAAUUUACCCUUAGGUAAACGGACUUGACCCAAGUCUAAGAAUAACCUAACUAUUUAGUUUGUCAUUAUGUGCUUAUUCCAUGUUUCUUUUGCCUUUUACUGUAGCCCAGAAUCUCUGCAAAAUGUUCUACUGUUCAGU
rnacentral:lncRNA from 1 species